AUUGAACGCUGGCGGCAUGCCUUACACAUGCAAGUCGAACGGCAGCACGGGAGCAAUCCUGGUGGCGAGUGGCGAACGGGUGAGUAAUAUAUCGGAACGUGCCCAGUAGUGGGGGAUAACUGCUCGAAAGAGCAGCUAAUACCGCAUACGACCUGAGGGUGAAAGCGGGGGAGUCGCAAGACCUCGCGCUAUUGGAGCGGCCGAUAUCAGAUUAGCUAGUUGGUGGGGUAAAGGCCUACCAAGGCAACGAUCUGUAGUUGGUCUGAGAGGACGACCAGCCACACUGGGACUGAGACACGGCCCAGACUCCUACGGGAGGCAGCAGUGGGGAAUUUUGGACAAUGGGCGCAAGCCUGAUCCAGCAAUGCCGCGUGCAGGAAGAAGG
rnacentral:rRNA from 1 species